GUCUGCGUUUUGCACUGACCAAGUGCAUUUCUUGCCACUGAGGUGUGCCCUGCGGAAACCUGUGCUUCCCUCGCCCAGCCUGUUAAGCGCUGCCCUCCGCGAAUAUGUCCAAGUCUCUGAAAAAGUUGGUGGAGGAGAGCUGGGAGAAGAACCAGCCGGAAGUGGACAUGAGUGACCAGGGCAUCUCCAACAUGCUGGAUGUCAACGGCUUGUUCUCUUUAGCCCACAUCACGCAGCUGGUCCUCAGCCACAACAAGCUAACAACGGUCCCACCAAACAUAGCAGAACUGAAGAAUUUGGAAGUGCUCAACUUUUUUAAUAACUAGAUUGAGGAGCUGCCCACACAGAUCAGCAGCCUUCAAAAGCUCAAACACCUGAACUUGGGCAUGAAUAGACUAAACACUUUGCCUCGAGGAUUUGGCUCCCACCCAGCUCUUGAGGUCCUUGAUUUGACUUACAACAACUUGAAUGAAAAUUCUCUUCCCGGAAACUUCUUCUACCUUACCACCCUGCGUGCACUCUAUCUAAGUGACAACGAUUUUGAAAUCCUGCCACCAGAUAUUGGGAAGCUCACAAAGUUGCAGAUACUCAGCCUUGGAGAUAACGACCUGAUCUCGCUGCCUAAAGAAAUCGGGGAGCUUACUCAGGUUAAGGAGCUCCACAUUCAGGGGAAUCGCCUGACCGUUCUGCCCCUAGAACUAGGAAACUUGGAUUUAACUGGUCAGAAACAAGUGUUCAAAGCAGAGAACAAUCCCUGGGUUACCCCAAUCGCUGACCAAUUCCAGCUUGGCGUGUCCCAUGUUUUUGAAUAUAUCCGUUCUGAGACGUACAAAUACCUCUACGGCAGACACAUGCAAGCAAACCCAGAACCACCGAAGAAAAAUAAUGACAAAUCGAAAAAGAUCAGCCGGAAACCCCUGACAGCCAAGAACAAAUAAAGGGUUGGCAUGGGCUGAACUUCUGGUUGCUUUCCUCAUGAUGACUUCUGUUCUCUGUUACUGUAUCCCACAAAUAAAUACAUGUGUAUGUGUUCUUUAUUUCUCUUUCUAGAGCUUAUCACUUUACCUUUUAAAUGUUUUUGGUAGGUGGUAGAUUUUUAUAAAUUCUUAAAACCAUGUCCAUUUGUUUGCUUAAAAAUGCCAAAGGCAGGAAACAAAGCUCUAAUUCAACUGCAAAUUCUAUAGUAGGCACAGAGUUCAGUCCCUUGAAUAGAUGUUCACAAAGCUGCAUGUUAUCAAAAGAAUAAUUAAAACCAUGUGAUCAUUUAAAUGUCACAGCUAACACCGUUCACUCUUCUGUUUAUUCACAUAACUCAUUAUUUUGCUUUGUUAAAAGCUUGUUAAAAGCUGUAACCAUCGAGAUAUUAUGUUAAAUAACAAAUAAUUUUUAAUAAAAUCUUGAAUUUGUA